AGCCUGGCUAUGGGCAAAGAGAACUAAUUGGUGGUGGUGCUCUUAUAUCAGUGAAGGGCAGAGCAGACUGGCAGACGUUUGUUCAUCGUAGCUUGAUGCCUAGAUAAUGGCCAGAGCUGUUUCAUGCCUAGGGCACAUUA